rnacentral:rRNA from 1 species
UACGUAGGGGGCUAGCGUUGUCCGGAAUCAUUGGGCGUAAAGCGCGUGUAGGCGGUCCGGUAAGUCCGCUGUGAAAGUCGGGGGCUCAACCCUCGGAUGCCGGUGGAUACUGUCGGGCUUGAGUACGGAAGAGGCGAGUGGAAUUCCUGGUGUAGCGGUGAAAUGCGCAGAUAUCAGGAGGAACACCAAGUGCGAAGGCAGCUCGCUGGGACGUUACUGACGCUGAGACGCGAAAGCGUGGGGAUCAAACAGG